UGCCGAGCGAGGAGUCGGGCUCUCCGGAAGCCGCCGAGUGAUUAGUGCCAGCUAUUCAACAGAAAAGAACGGUGGCUUUUCUAAACCAAUUUGUGGUGCACACUGUACAGUUCCUCAACCGCUUUUCUACAGUUUGUGAGGAGACAGGGUCUCACUUUGUCACCCAGGCUGCAGUGUAGUGGAGCGAUCUUAGCUCACUGCAGCCUAGACCUCCUGCCUCAGCGCCCCAAGUAGCUGGAACUACAGAAACUGGCAGACCUUUCGCUUCGUAUCCAACAAAUUGAAACAACUCUCAAUAUUUUAGAUGCAAAGUUGUCAUCUAUCCCAGGCCUAGAUGAUGUCACAGUUGAAGUAUCUCCUUUAAAUGUCACCAGUGUCACAAAUGGAGCACAUCCUGAAGCCGCUUCAGAGCAACCACAGAACAGUACACACGACUCUGGACUACAGGAAAGUGAAGUAUCAGCAGAAAAUAUCUUAACUGUAGCCAAGGAUCCAAGAUAUGCCAGAUAUCUCAAAAUGGUUCAAGUGGGUGUACCAGUGAUGGCAAUAAGAAACAAAAUGAUAUCAGAAGGACUAGACCCAGAUCUUCUUGAGGUGAAGUAAGAACAUUUAUGAUCAUAAUAUGCAGAGCCAAAUUUCUGUUCCCCUUGAAAAUAUGAAUAUCCAGCCUGGAAAUGAUGGUAUUGCU
rnacentral:sRNA from 1 species